GCAAAGGUAGCGUAAUCGACUGCCCUUUAAUUGGGGGCCUGUAUGAAUGGACACACGCGAGCACAUCUGUCUCAUUAGAGCCCCUAAAAGUUAUCCUUUAGGUGAAAAGACCUAAAUAAAAUAGAAAGACAAAAAGACCCUACAGAGCUUUAUCUUAACACCCUACACUCCCCCUGCCUGCCAACACCCGGAGUAUUAUGGCCUAAGAUUUGGUUGGGGCGACAAAGGACCACCCAAAACGUCCUUCCCUUUACAGACCUCACGUCACCAAACUACUCAUUAGACAACUUGUUUAAGAGACAUAAGCUACCUUAGGGAUAACAGACUAAUAUCCCCUUAAGAGCCCAAAUCAACAGGGGAGUUUGGCACCUCGAUGUUG
rnacentral:rRNA from 1 species